rnacentral:tRNA from 1 species
GGACUGUUAGCUCAGUUGGUCAGAGCAGUCGGCUCAUAACCGAUCGGUCAGGGGUUCGAGUCCCUUACAGUCCA